CAUGCAGUCGAACGGCAUCUCGAGAGAGCUUGCUCUCUUGGUGGCGAGUGGCGGACAGGUGAGUAAUAUAUCGGAACUUGCUCAGGAACGCGGGAGAACUACUCGAAAGAGUGCCUAAUACCACAGACGCCCUACAGGGGAAAGGGGGGGAUCUCAAUACCUCUCUCUAUUGGAUCGACGCAUAUCGGAUUAACUAUUUGGUGGGGUAAAGGCUCAGCGAGGCAACGCUCCGUAGCUGGUUAUGCGAGGACGACCACCCACGCUGGGACUGAGACGCGACCCAGACUCCUGCGGGAGGCACCGAUGCGGAAUUGUGGACUGUGGGAUAAACGCCGAUCCAGCCGUCCCGUGUGUCUGAUGAGAGGAUUCUGGUUGUAAAGUAAUUUAUGGCCCACAACAAAAUGUAUCCCCUCAUACCGGAUACUGCUGACGGUAUCUGCAGAAUAAGCACCGGCUGACUACUUGCCAGCAGCCGCGGUGAUACGUAUGGUGCAAGCGUUAAUCGGAAUUACUGGGCGUGAACGGGUGUGUAUGCUGUUCGUAUAGAAAUAUGUGAAAUCCCAGGGCUCUACCUUGGAACUGCGUUUUUAACUGCCAUAUCUCGAGUAUGUCACAGGGGGGUAGAAUUCCACCUGUAUCAGUGCAGUGCCUAAAUAUCUGCAGGAAUAUCAAUGGUCAAGGCUACCUC
rnacentral:rRNA from 1 species